rnacentral:rRNA from 1 species
CCCUUGACGGUAUCUAACCAGAAAGCCACGGCUAACUACGUGCCAGCAGCCGCGGUAAUACGUAGGUGGCAAGCGUUGUCCGGAUUUAUUGGGCGUAAAGCGAGCGCAGGCGGUUUCUUAAGUCUGAUGUGAAAGCCCCCGGCUCAACCGGGGAGGGUCAUUGGAAACUGGGAGACUUGAGUGCAGAAGAGGAGAGUGGAAUUCCCAUGUGUAGCGGUGAAAUGCGUAGAUAUAUGGAGGAACACCAGUGGCGAAGGCGGCUCUCUGGUCUGUAACUGACGCUGAGGCUCGAAAGCGUGGGGAGCAAACAGGAUUAGAUACCCUGGUAGUCCACGCCGUAAACGAUGAGUGCUAAGUGUUGGAGGGUUUCCGCCCUUUCAGUGCUGCAGCUAACGCAUUAAGCACUCCGCCUGGGGAGA